CAAGCCUUUUUUUUAGGGGUUCCCCUUUGAGAAAAUAGAAAAGGCUCUUAAUUGCUACCAUUGCAUUAUAUUUUAUUAUCAUACCAUAUAAGCAUCCAUGGCUGAGUUUCUAAACUACAACAAGUGCAAGCAAGGAACUAAGGUUCCUGCAAAGAGAAAGGGAUAUGGGAUUAGCAGCAAGUGUGCUUCUUUGGUGAAGGAGCAACGUGCUCGUCUCUAUAUCCUACGUCGAUGUGCCACCAUGCUACUUUGUUGGUAUAUUCAAGGAGAUGAUUGAGUUCACAAAAACCACUCUUGUUUUCACUCUCUUUUUGGUCUUCUUUAGCUAUAUGUGUAAUAUAUGUCAUAAAGUUUACCAUCUUCUAAAGUGGUGACAUCUUUGUUUGAAGGAAGCUCCUUGCCAUGCAUGGUCUGCCAGCACAGUUGGGUUGGGCUUCACUGUGGGUUUGUCAUUUUAGUCUCCUUUUUUCCUUCUUUUUUUUUACCCAUUUGGAAAAGCCCAAUGGGUUUUUAUGGGGAAAGGAGAGUUUUAUGGACACCCUCAGUGCUGCUUUUUCCUCAAUAUGAAUCUGGCAAGGAGUUGAUGAUUAACUAAACGUCCUUUAGCUGAUGCUAGAAUAAUUGGAAUGUAGUCCUAGUACUUCAGCGUUUUUCACUUAUACCAAGCCCCUUUUUCUUGUAUUACAUAUAUUUCUCUUUGACUAAUGACAUUAUGACUUAAUAACUAGCAUUUGGUACCUCUGCUAGCUUGAAAAAUACAUAAGGGAAACUCAAAUGUUGUAUGUUACAUGGAAGACAAGUUGUAAAAUCCUAAACCG
rnacentral:lncRNA from 1 species